rnacentral:rRNA from 1 species
AAUCCAUAGGUUAAUGAGGCGAACCGGGGGAACUGAAACAUCUAAGUACCCCGAGGAAAAGAAAUCAACCGAGAUUCCCCCAGUAGCGGCGAGCGAACGGGGAGGAGCCCAGAGCCUGAAUCAGCAUGUGUGUUAGUGGAAGCGUCUGGAAAGGCGCGCGAUACAGGGUGACAGCCCCGUACACAAAAGCGCAUGUGCUGUGAGCUCGAUGAGUAGGGCGGGACACGUGGUAUCCUGUCUGAAUAUGGGGGGACCAUCCUCCAAGGCUAAAUACUCCUGACUGACCGAUAGUGAACCAGUACCGUGAGGGAAAGGCGAAAAGAACCCCGGCGAGGGGAGUGAAAAAGAACCUGAAACCGUGUACGUACAAGCAGUGGGAGCACAGGUUUACCUGUGUGACUGCGUACCUUUUGUAUAAUGGGUCAGCGACUUAUAUUCUGUAGCAAGGUUAACCGUAUAGGGGAGCCGGAGGGAAACCGAGUCUUAACCGGGCGUUAAGUUGCAGGGUAUAGACCCGAAACCCGGUGAUCUAGCCAUGGGCAGGUUGAAGGUUGGGUAACACUAACUGGAGGACCGAACCGACUAAUGUUGAAAAAUUAGCGGAUGACCUGUGGCUGGGGGUGAAAGGCCAAUCAAACCGGGAGAUAGCUGGUUCUCCCCGAAAGCUAUUUAGGUAGCGCCUCGUGAAUUCAUCUCCGGGGGUAGAGCACUGUUUCGGCUAGGGGGCCAUCCCGGCUUACCAACCCGAUGCAAACUGCGAAUACCGGAGAAUGUUAUCACGGGAGACACACGGCGGGUGCUAACGUCCGUCGUGAAGAGGGAAACAACCCAGACCGCCAGCUAAGGUCCCAAAGUCAUGGUUAAGUGGGAAACGAUGUGGGAAGGCCCAGACAGCCAGGAUGUUGGCUUAGAAGCAGCCAUCAUUUAAAGAAAGCGUAAUAGCUCACUGGUCGAGUCGGCCUGCGCGGAAGAUGUAACGGGGCUAAACCAUGCACCGAAGCUGCGGCAGCGAACGUAUCACUUAAAGCGAUUCAGCGGAUGACGAUUGACGGAGCGAAGCGACGUCAAAGCGUAUACAAAGUCGAGUCGGUUUAAGGAUACGUUCGUUGGGUAGGGGAGCGUUCUGUAAGCCUGCGAAGGUGGCCUGUGAGGGUUGCUGGAGGUAUCAGAAGUGCGAAUGCUGACAUAAGUAACGAUAAAGCGGGUGAAAAGCCCGCUCGCCGGAAGACCAAGGGUUCCUGUCCAACGUUAAUCGGGGCAGGGUGAGUCGACCCCUAAGGCGAGGCCGAAAGGCGUAGUCGAUGGGAAACGGGUUAAUAUUCCCGUACUUGGUGUUACUGCGAAGGGGGGACGGAGAA